rnacentral:rRNA from 1 species
AAUAUUGCACAAUGGGGGAAACCCUGAUGCAGCGACGCCGCGUGAGUGAAGAAGUAUUUCGGUAUGUAAAGCUCGAUCAGCAGGGAUGAAAUUGACGGUUCCUGACUAAGAAGACCCGGCUAACUACGCGCCAACAGCCGCGGCAAUACGUAGGGGGCAAGCGUUAUCCGGAUUUACUGGGUGUAAAGGGAGCGUAGGUGGGUUGGUAAGUCAGAUGUGAAAGCCCGGGGCUCAACCCCGGGACUGCAUUUGAAACUAUCAAACUAGAGUGCAGGAGAGGUAAGUGGAAUUCCUAGUGUAGCGGUGAAAUGCGUAGAUAUUAGGAGGAACACCAGUUGCGAAGGCGGCUUACUGGACUGUAACUGACACUGAGGCUCGAAAGCGUGGGGAGCAAA